AUUGAACGCUGGCGGCAGGCCUAACACAUGCAAGUCGAGCGAGCGGCGGACGGGUGAGUAAUGUAUGGGGACUGCCCGAUAGAGGGGGAUAACUACUGGAAACGGUGGCUAAUACCGCAUACUAUCGGAUAACCCAUAUGGGAUUAGCUAGUAGGUGGGGUAAAAGCUCACCGUGGCUACGAUCUCUAGCUGGUCUGAGAGGAUGACCAGCCAACCUGGGACUGAGACAGGGCCCAGACCCCUACGGAGGCAGCAGUGGGGAAUAUUGCACAAUGGGCGCAAGCCUGAUGCAGCCAGGCCGCGUGUAUUAAUAAGGCGUUAGGGUUGUAAAGUACUUUCAGCUGCGAGGCGUGACCCGCAGAAGAAGCACCGGAUAACUCCGUGCCAGCAGCCGAGUAAUAC
rnacentral:rRNA from 1 species